AGUGAACGCUGGCGGUAGGCCUAACACAUGCAAGUCGAACGGCAGCACAGUAAGAGCUUGCUCUUACGGGUGGCGAGUGGCGGACGGGUGAGGAAUACAUCGGAAUCUACUUUUUCGUGGGGGAUAACGUAGGGAAACUUACGCUAAUACCGCAUACGACCUACGGGUGAAAGCAGGGGAUCUUCGGACCUUGCGCGAUUGAAUGAGCCGAUGUCGGAUUAGCUAGUUGGCGGGGUAAAGGCCCACCAAGGCGACGAUCCGUAGCUGGUCUGAGAGGAUGAUCAGCCACACUGGAACUGAGACACGGUCCAGACUCCUACGGGAGGAAGCAGUGGGGAAUAUUGGACAAUGGGCGCAAGCCUGAUCCAGCCAUACCGCGUGGGUGAAGAAGGCCUUCGGGUUGUAAAGCCAUUUUGUUGGGAAAGAAAAGCAGCAGGUUAAUACCCCGCUGUUCUGACGGUACCCAAAGAAUAAGCACCGGCUAACUUCGUG
rnacentral:rRNA from 1 species